rnacentral:rRNA from 1 species
UACAGAGGGUGCGAGCGUUAAUCGGAAUUACUGGGCGUAAAGCGUGCGUAGACGGUUAUUUAAGUCGGGUGUGAAAGCCCCGGACUCAACCUGGGAAUUGCAUUCGAGACUGAAUAGCUAGGGUACGGUAGAGGGAAGCGGAAUUUCCGGUGUAGCGGUGAAAUGCGUAGAUAUCGGAAGGAACAUCAGUGGCGAAAGCGGCUUCCUGGACCAGUACCGACGUUCAGGCACGAAAGCGUGGGGAGCAAACAGG